rnacentral:misc_RNA from 1 species
GGACUACUGGGGUAUCUAAUCCUGUUUGCUACCCACGCUUUCGUAUCUCAGUGUCAGUAAUGGUCCAGGAACCCGUCUACACCACAGGUGUUCCUCCUGAUAUCUACGCAUUUCACCGCUACACCAGGAAUUCCGAUUCCCUCUCCCAUACUCAAGCAUCGCAGUCUUCGGCGCACCCUCCCAGUUAAGCCAGGAGAUUUCACACCAAACUUACGACACCACCUACAUACUCUUUACGCCCAAUAAUUCCGAACAACGCUUGCUGCCUACGUAUUACCGCGGCGGCUGGCAC